AGCAGCGUGGCUCAGUGGAAAGAGCCCGGACUGGGGCGUCAGAGGUCAUGGGUUCGAAUCCCGCCUCUGCCA
rnacentral:tRNA from 1 species